UUGUGUUCUUGUUUUGCAGGUGGUGGUCUGAAACAGUUAACAGUGAGAAUAAUCUUCACUUUACUUAUCUGCAACUGCUCACUGUUGUAGAUGAAGAAACAACCCGUAUGAAUCACUGUUUCUGUUUCCUAAUUUUGAGGCUGGCUUCUCCUUAGACAAUACUUCGGAUUUCACAUUUAGGUCCCUGGUGCCAGAUGGAAACUUGCAUUCGCAGAGGAAAGUCGGACACAGUCAGUGAGAAGACGCUGGAAGUCAGAAGAAGCCAGAAGGAGAAGUCAUGUGAUGGGGCCAGGGUGCAAACCAGGGAACCCCAAGGUGCUGUGGCAAGCCAGCACCUGAAUGCUACGGACUUGAAGAAAGCAUGGCUUGCUGAACUCUUGACUUUGGACCUCUGGCCCCCAAAACCAUGAGACCAUAAAUUCCAAUUGUUUAAGCCAAUUUGACAUAGCAAUCCUGGCAGACUAAGAAGACUAUGCGCCAUUGGAACAUGAAGAUGAAUAAAUACACACAUUCCCACCUUCAUUCACAGUCCAAUAGAGGAGUUAGUUGUUUGCAUUCUAGGAUGGCGUGAGUCCAAGCUAACCUCAAACUAUCAUAGAAGACUUUCCCAAAGAGCUGUUCCUAUUUGUCUUCAUGCCUCCAACCCUUCUGUAUCUUUUCUAGGAUCUGAAAUUCAGGCCCCAACCCUGGUAGGAACAUAUAUUUGAUUAUGUCACCUUCCUCCCCCUGGUUAAAAUCCUUUGAUGACUUUCAAUUUCCUAUGUGAUAAAUCCCAGGCUCCUCACAGUGUAUUUAGGGCAUCUCGGGACUUGUAUUCCACAUGACCCUAUCCACCAAUGGUUGGCAGUGUCCCCAGUGUGCUCAAGUUUCUGAAGCUUUGGCAUGUAGGGUCUUCUUGGCUUGACCAUGCCUGCCCUUGCUAUGCAGGGGCAGUUGUCCCCACUCAUACUCAGCCUCAACUUCUCCUGCACCUUCAGCAAUGCCUCUCUAAAAGAGGGAGCUGGUAUAUGAUGAGCAAUGGACAAGAGUUAUAAGACCUGGGUUCAAGUCUUGUGCCUACUCUUUCCAAAUCAUCUGAUCUAGGACCAGUCACUUAAUUUCUUUAAGUGCCCCCCCCCCUUUACAUCUAUAAAAAGGUCUUAAUAAUGCUCUUGCAGUUUUCUCUGGGUGAUGGUGAAAUUCAGAGUGAUAAAUAGAUGCAAAGUAACUUGUAAAUGAAGUGCUUUGUAAAUGUAUUUUAUAUGGACAUUUCACUUGAGGCAGUGAAAUGUCUAUUUCUAAAUAAUAAGAGAAAAUGAACAAUUUAUGGCAUCACUCAUUUGCAAACCUUUUUCUUCCUGAGAAAAUUCUGAUGAAUGUGUCCUUCAAGUAGGGAGGUGCUAUCUAUCACCCAU
rnacentral:lncRNA from 1 species